CGCGACGCCAUUUCGGUUUAACACUCGCUCCAACCGCACGCUCCUGCCAUCCCUCGUACCCAGGCUACCCUGGCAUCACCCCCAAAAAACCGCGUUCCCAGUGCUCUACGUCACACUUCACCCAUUGGGCAGACCCUUAUCACCGCUAUCAAGCCACGAGAUCCGAGCACAGCGCGUGAGCAUUAUGCCUACGCGACGCGACCGUGUUGCCGCGCAAAAUUUUCGCACAUAUACAAGCACGUCGUGUCAAAUAAGAUUCUUAUAGGCCUAUUUAGAAAAAUACACCAAAACAACCGGAAGACUGUCUAGUUUCGGACUGUGUAAGUUUCAAAAUGAAAUUCGGUUGGGGAUAAGGAUUUUUUUGGCAAUUUGUGAAGUGACUGUGCGUGUGCGAUUCAAGAUUCGCGUUUGUGCACAUGGAUUGUUACCAGUUCGGGCUGCUUUGGAUAAAACACGUGGAAAUGUACAGGAAAAUUCGAAGAAAAAUAAGGACAGCUGUAAUAUUUGACGGUUACUGAUGCUGAAAAAUUGGCUGCAAGAAAAAAUCAACAGGGUCACCAAAUGCAGAAAACAUGAGAAGUUGGAAGAAGAAGGUUGCUUCUAGAAGAUGCCUCUGCGUUGCUGCUUUUCCAAAGAAUCAGAAGAUCUAUUUUAUUGCAGGUCGUUCCAGACGAAGAAAUCUGAAACGAAGAAUUUAUUGGUAAAGAGUUUUAAAGGGUGACCGUCAAAAAAAUUU